UCUUUUAUUUCAUUUUAUUUUGAGACAGGGUCUCACUCAGUUGUCCAGCCUGGAGUGUAUGUUGCCCAAGGUGGAAUGCAGUUACAGGAUCUCAGCUCCCCGCAACCUCUGCCUCCCAGGUUAGGUUCAAGCAGUUCUCCUGCCUCAGCCUCCCAAGUAGCUGGGACCACAGAUACAUCUCUCAGUGCAGUGAUGAUCACAUGAAUGACCCAUGGAAUGCCCUAAAUCAUCGAUUUCAUCUGUCUUUUAAUUUUAGAGUAACUGGCUAAAGUUUUUGUAUUCAGAAGGGAUUUUUACAGUCCAAAAUAUUACCUGGAAGUGUUUAAAACAUAGCCAUUAGCAUUCAUUCAUUCAGUAAGUAUUUUUGGGCUCCUACUUCAUGCCAGGCUCUGUGAGAGUGAGUGUCACUUAGGUUGUUAGGUCAUCUAGUAUGAGUGGGGCAAGGUGUGUAUCAUGUUAAGCCAGAUUCAGGAAUGGAUGAUCCAAAAAUACCUGAGUUUAAAUCUGGUGGAAUACAGAAGGAAUACAAGAGUUCAUUUUUCAUAGCACUCAAAAUUUGAGUAGACCAGAAAUCCAAAGGUCAACAGAUGUGAAAAAGCAGCAAAAUGACAUCUGUGGAGGGAUCAAGACAUGGUGCAGAGAAAAGCUUCUUCCAUCUGCUCUUUCUGUCAUGAAUUCGCUAUUAAUAAUAUGGACAGCCCUAAACCCUCAACCCUCUUACUAGAGGCCAAAAGGAGAAGUAAGCCAUUGCAGUGAGUAGUAGAUAAAAGUUGCAGAUGCAGCUGCUAAAAGUAAAUUCCCUCUCAAAAGGAGAGGGAAUGGGAAGUUUCAGGGCUUGGGGAGCUGCUGAAGGAGGGCAGUGAAGAAACCCGGAGUAGUAACGCACAGGGCCAGACGCGACUUGCCACCCUCCUUGGCUUGUAGAUGGAUAACUGAGUUCUACAGGUAGGGAUUUGUCUAGGUCUUAAGCUUGAGGUAACCAAAAGAGGAUUAGACUUGGAUUUUCAAGCCUGUGUAAAGCAUGCACUCAUACCCUGUCCUCAGUGGGAUUUGGACAUCUUUGCUACUGGUUGCUGGGGGGAAAAGAUGCUGUGGGUGGAAAAUGGUAUAUUAGCCAAGUGACUCUCAAUGGACCAUUCAUAUAUUUUCUACUCCCUAGUAAAUUUAUCUUAACAUAUUAAGAAAACAAAAUGGUUCGUAAGUGGUUGUGCUUUUAAAAUUUAUGGAUUUAGCAACAUUUUACAGAUUUCACUUGUAUGACUGAGUUUUUGCUAGUUAGAUGAAUUGUUAAAAAUCUUAAAGAAACGAAUGUAUCCUAUAGUAAUAUAAUUUGAAAACAAAUUGUUUUUAGUGUUUUGAAUGAAGCACUGCCAACUCCUCAGCAUAGAUCCUCAGACAUACUUUUGAGUAAGGAUGCGUUAUUAGACCCUAUUACUGAAAAUAUAGUUGAGGCUUUAAUAUGUAUAUUAAUAUAAAGCAGAAUGAAAAUUUUCCUCUUUUUUUUUUUGUAUUCCAUUGUAUAAAUAUACCACAAUUUAUUUCUUCUCCUGGUGACAGUCAUUUCAGUUAUUUUCAGUUUGGGACUCUUAUGAAUAAAUCUACGAUGAAUAGA